AGGUCCUAUUCUGUCUGAGGGGACUGAGGGUAGAGAACCUUGUUCAGGGCAGGUCCUAUUCUGUCUGAGGGUAGAGAACCUUGUUCAGGGCAGGUCCUAUUCUGUCUGAGGGUAGAGAACCUUGUUCUGGGCAGGUCCUAGUCUGUCUGAGGGGACUGAGGGUAGAGAACCUUGUUCAGGGCAGGUCCUAUUCUGUCUGAGGGUAGAGAACCUUGUUCAGGGCAGGUCCUAGUCUGUCUGAGGGGACUGAGGGUAGAGAACCUUGUUCAGGGCAGGUCCUAGUCUGUCUGAGUGUAGAGAACCUUGUUCAGGGCAGGUCCUAUUCUGUCUGAGGGUAGAGAACCUUGUUCAGGGCAGGUCCUAGUCUGUCUGAGGGUAGAGAACCUUGUUCAGGGCAGGUCCUAUUCUGUCUGAGGGGACUGAGGGUAGAGAACCUUGUUCAGGGCAGGUCCUAUUCUGUCUGAGGGGACUGAGGGUAGAGAACCUUGUUCAGGGCAGGUCCUAUUCUGUCUGAGGGGACUGAGGGUAGAGAACCUUGUUCAGGGCAGGUCCUAUUCUGUCUGAGGGUAGAGAACCUUGUUCUGGGCAGGUCCUAUUCUGUCUGAGGGUAGAGAACCUUGUUCAGGGCAGGUCCUAUUCUGUCUGAGGGGACUGAGGGUAGAGAAUCUUGUUCAGGGCAGGUCCUAUUCUGUCUGAGGGUAGAGAACCUUGUUCAGGGCAGGUCCUAUUCUGUCUGAGGGGACUGAGGGUAGAGAAUCUUGUUCAGGGCAGGUCCUAUUCUGUCUGAGGGUAGAGAACCUUGUUCAGGGCAGGUCCUAUUCUGUCUGAGGGGACUGAGGGUAGAGAAUCUUGUUCAGGGCAGGUCCUAUUCUGUCUGAGGGUAGAGAACCUUGUUCAGGGCAGGUCCUAUUCUGUCUGAGGGGACUGAGGGUAGAGAACCUUGUUCAGGGCAGGUCCUAGUCUGUCUGAGGGGACUGAGGGUAGAGAACCUUGUUCAGGGCAGGUCCUAUUCUGUCUGAGGGUAGAGAACCUUGUUCUGGGCAGGUCCUAGUCUGUCUGAGGGGACUGAGGGUAGAGAACCUUGUUCAGGGCAGGUCCUAUUCUGUCUGAGGGGACUGAGGGUAGAGAACCUUGUUCAGGGCAGGUCCUAUUCUGUCUGAGGGGACUGAUGGUAGAGAACCUUGUUCAGGGCAGGUCCUAUUCUGUCUGAGGGUAGAGAACCUUGUUCAGGGCAGGUCCUAGUCUGUCUGAGGGUAGAGAACCUUGUUCAGGGCAGGUCCUAUUCUGUCUGAGGGGACUGAUGGUAGAGAACCUUGUUCAGGGCAGGUCCUAUUCUGUCUGAGGGUAGAGAACCUUGUUCAGGGCAGGUCCUAUUCUGUCUGAGGGGACUGAGGGUAGAGAACCUUGUUCAGGGCAGGUCCUAUUCUGUCUGAGGGGACUGAGGGUAGAGAACCUUGUUCAGGGCAGGUCCUAGUCUGUCUGAGGGGACUGAGGGUAGAGAACCUUGUUCAGGGCAGGUCCUAUUCUGUCUGAGGGUAGAGAACCUUGUUCAGGGCAGGUCCUAUUCUGUCUGAGGGUAGAGAACCUUGUUCAGGGCAGGUCCUAUUCUGUCUGAGGGGACUGAGGGUAGAGAACCUUGUUCAGGGCAGGUCCUAUUCUGUCUGAGGGGACUGAGGGUAGAGAACCUUGUUCAGGGCAGGUCCUAUUCUGUCUGAGGGGACUGAGGGUAGAGAACCUUGUUCAGGGCAGGUCCUAUUCUGUCUGAGGGUAGAGAACCUUGUUCAGGGCAGGUCCUAUUCUGUCUGAGGGUAGAGAACCUUGUUCAGGGCAGGUCCUAUUCUGUCUGAGGGUAGAGAACCUUGUUCAGGGCAGGUCCUAUUCUGUCUGAGGGUAGAGAACCUUGUUCAGGGCAGGUCCUAUUCUGUCUGAGGGGACUGAGGGUAGAGAAUCUUGUUCAGGGCAGGUCCUAUUCUGUCUGAGGGUAGAGAACCUUGUUCAGGGCAGGUCCUAUUCUGUCUGAGGGGACUGAGGGUAGAGAACCUUGUUCAGGGCAGGUCCUAUUCUGUCUGAGGGUAGAGAACCUUGUUCAGGGCAGGUCCUAUUCUGUCUGAGGGGACUGAGGGUAGAGAACCUUGUUCAGGGCAGGUCCUAUUCUGUCUGAGGGGACUGAGGGUAGAGAACCUUGUUCAGGGCAGGUCCUAUUCUGUCUGAGGGGACUGAGGGUAGAGAACCUUGUUCAGGGCAGGUCCUAUUCUGUCUGAGGGUAGAGAACCUUGUUCAGGGCAGGUCCUAGUCUGUCUGAGGGUAGAGAACCUUGUUCAGGGCAGGUCCUAUUCUGGUAGAGGGGACUGAGUUCAGAAAGCAUAUCUGAUCUAGAAGCAGUCCAAACCUCUUCUUCAUUACAACCUCCACCAGCACUCCUACUGAAACACCAUGAAUUUAGGCCCUGACGUUCAGGACAACCUGACAACAUUCUGAGGGACAG